AGUGAACGCUGGCGGUAGGCCUAACACAUGCAAGUCGAACGGCAGCACAGUAAGAGCUUGCUCUUACGGGUGGCGCGUGGCGGACGGGUGAGGAAUACAUAGGAAUCUACUUUUUCGUGGGGGAUAACGUAGGGAGACUUACGCUAAUACCGCAUACGACCUACGGGUGAAAGCAGGGGAUCUUCGGACCUUGCGCGAUUGAAUGAGCCGAUGUCGGAUUAGCUAGUUGGCGGGGUAAAGGCCCACCAAGGCGACGAACCGUAGCUGGUCUGAGAGGAUGAUCCGCCCCACUGGAACUUGGACACGGUCCAGACUCCUACGGGAGGCAGCAGUGGGGAAUAUUGGACAAUGGGCGCAAGCCUUAUCCAGCCAUACCGCGUGGGUUAAGAAGGCCUUCGGGUUGUAAAGCCCUUUUGUUGGGAAAGAAAAGCAGCAGGUUAAUACCCUGCUGUUCUUACGGUACCCAAAGCAUAAGCACCGGCUAACUUCGUG
rnacentral:rRNA from 1 species